rnacentral:misc_RNA from 1 species
AAGUCGUAACAAGGUUUCCGUAGGUGAACCUGCGGAAGGAUCAUUAACACGUAUCCAACGUUAAACAACCCUGUGAACUUUCAGCGCUCUUGUAGCCCCGGAGGAACAGCAAUCCCGGUAAAUCAAAUGGCGGAAAGAGUUUUGAUUCGGGACCUCUGUCCAAAAGGUAUCAAGUUACAAUCGAGCAGAGCAGUGGCAUGGUUUCCCUAAGCAGUGCAGAAGGAUCCACUGAGUAAGGAUAACGCAUCACGGUUGCCAGAGGUCGAUCACCGGCCGGCAGACAUGUCACAGGGCUUUACGCCCCUUUAUUCAGCAUAAAAACCGAACAACUGUUAACAAUGGAUAUCUUGGUUCUC